rnacentral:rRNA from 1 species
CCGCGGUAAUACGUAGGGUGCAAGCGUUAAUCGGAAUUACUGGGCGUAAAGCGUGCGCAGGCGGUUAUAUAAGACAGAUGUGAAAUCCCCGGGCUCAACCUGGGAACUGCAUUAGUGACUGUAUAGCUAGAGUGCGGCAGAGGGGGAUGGAAUUCCGCGUGUAGCAGUGAAAUGCGUAGAUAUGCGGAGGAACACCGAUGGCGAAGGCAAUCCCCUGGGCCUGCACUGACGCUCAUGCACGAAAGCGUGG